rnacentral:rRNA from 1 species
AUUGAACGCUGGCGGCAGGCCUAACACAUGCAAGUCGAACGAGUGGCGGACGGGUGAGUAAUGUCUGGGAAACUGCCCGAUGGAGGGGGAUAACUACUGGAAAGGGUAGCAAAUCCCCAUUACAAUCGGAUGUGCCAAGUUGGGAUUAGCUAGUAGGUGGGUUAACGGCUCACCUAGGCGACGAUCCCUAGCUGGUCUGAGAGGAUGACCAGCCACACUGGAACUGAGACACGGUCCAGACUCCUACGGGAGGCAGCAGUGGGGAAUAUUGCACAAUGGGCGCAAGCCUGAUGCAGCCAUGCCGCGUGUAUGAAGAAGGCCUUCGGGUUGUAAAGUACUUUCAGCGAGGAGGCGUUACUCGCAGAAGAAGCACCGGCUAACUCCGUGCCAGCAGCCGCGGUAAUUC